CCCUGGUUUAUUCCGUAAUUCAGCGACGAAGUGCAUAUCCAUCUUCUCUGUUCGCUUCUUCCCUGAUACAAUUCGCACCGCCGCCGCCUAGGGCAUGUCUCCUGCCGCCGCCGCCGCCGCCGCUGCCUAGGGCAUGCCCCCAUCCACUGUUGCUAGCCCAAAUCCAGCGCAACUCGCGCGCGUGCCGAUUCCUUGGCUCAGAUCCGGUCAGUUUCAUAGGAGCGGAGAUGGACCUUCCCCCGCCGUCGCUGGAGCCAAAUGCGUCGCGGGAGCCGGAGACCCUCGGCAAGGACGAUCAGGACUAGAUGUCCGCGCUGCGGGAGUCGGCGUCGUUCGGAUUCGGUCGAUUCCUAUCCGAGUCACUCGAAUGGGAUACGAUGGGGCAUGUCUUGCCAGCACCGACGGCUACCAUAUUGCAUGACCAAUCGCUGCAGCAGCCGGGCUCAAUCAAGAUGUACAGGACAAUUUCUCGGUGCCGACCACAACGGUCGGAGCUCACUCUGCCUCCUCCAAUUGUAGUGAUGCAUGCAUUGCCAAUUCUGGAGCAGGCGUUAGUUGUAGUCCGUGCUUGCCUGCUGCCCGGUCCUCAGCAAAUAUUGAAGGAGCUGCACUGCAUUUGGUCAAGAAGCUUCAAAAUAGAUCAGGGGGAUAAGAAGGUGCACCAGUCUCGAAGGUUAUUUGGCAUUUCCCAUAUGUCGUAUUGUUUUCUUGAAAGUUUUUUUAGGUCCGAGUUCUUGAUUUUAUCCUGUAGGUGUGCUUUUGUGCCUACCACGGGAUGGUGUAGGACUAUGAACUCAUCAAGUGAUUUGUAGCAAUAUUGUUUCAUUUAGCUAUGUUAUAAUUUGUGCACUAUAUCAUCUUGUGAACUAUAUUAAGGUCAUGUUAAUUCCAAGACAAAGAUGCUAGUGUUUAAAGCCGCUCAAUUUUCUUGAAGGUAUAUGUUGAUGUUCCUUUGAUAUGAAUUUUUACGAGAUGAUAUGCAAGUAUGCAAAUACGCUGUUUUUGCUAGGGACAUCUUAACUUUAAAUGUAACCAGCUCGUACUAAUUUGGACAAUGUUUCAAAAUGCAAGAUCGAACCAUUGCUUAUCUAGGUGACUCUUUAGGGAGGCAAGAUGUUCCAAUCGGUGAUGUGCAUGCUUUCAACAUCCAAGAAACCUGCAAAACGAUCAAAUAGCUGGGUCUACUGAUUCCGGAGCAGAAACAUCUUCAUCCUUUUGGUGUUUUUGUUGUGUAAUUAGGGGAAUCGUCUGUGUUACCAGUUGACAAGAGUUGUAAUAUAUGCCUUUUAGGUUUAGGAGUAGCACCCUGUUUAGUUUAGCAAAUCUGAAGUACAACUGUUGUUACAUAUAUGCGCAAUUUCAUGGCAAGCGUUGCAUUGUGUUUUGUCAAUCUGGAAGAUUGUACCCCUCUGGUUUGCUUUAUUGCACAGCAACAUGCUUUUAUAUCUGAAGGUGUAACUAGUAUUGUGGAAUC